CGACCUCAGAUCAAGCGAGAAUACCCGCUGAAUUUAAGCAUAUAAAUAAGCGGAGGAAAAGAAACCAAACGGGAUUCCCUUAGUAACGGCGAGCGAAACGGGAACUGUCCAGCGCCAAGUCUUGACACUCAAGAGUGCUCAAGAGAUGCGGCGUUAAUGUGUUGGUGCAUCUUGUAUUGUCCGAUGAUUCAAGUUCCCUUGAACGGGAUUUCCGGAGCGGGUGCCAGACCCAUAGAAUCGAUGGACUGAUAUGAGCAAACCAAUACAUUCUAGAGUCAGGUUGCUUGAGAGUGCAGCUUAAAGUCGGUGGUAAACUCCAUCCAAGACUAAAUAUUGCAGCGAGACCGAUAGCAAACAAGUACCGUGAGGGAAAGUUGAAAAGCACUUUGAAGAGAGAGUUCAAUAGCACGUGAAACCACUGGGAGGCAAACAGAUGGAACCACGAAGUGUGCGUCUCGAUCGAUUCAACCAUCGAUAUCCGGUUGGUGUUGUCGGUGUAGAGGAUCAUUUCGGAGAUUGAAUCGAUGACAUUUAAGAUCGAUAUCGGUGGUGCAUUUCGUGUCGAGAAUGCAAAGCCACGUCCAAUUAGAUAGUUGAGACGGCCUUCGCGAAGGGAUUCGAGAAAGGUGGCCAUCAAGUGCGUUUGCAUUUGAAGGUGUUAUAGACUCG
rnacentral:ncRNA from 1 species